rnacentral:misc_RNA from 1 species
GAAAUGCGAUAAGAAUGUGAAUUGCAGAAUUCAGUGAAUCAUCGAAUCUUUGAACGCACAUUGCGCCCGCCAACACUCUGGCGGGCAUGCCUGUUCGAGCGUCAUUUCAACCCUCAGAACCCCUUGCGGGAUCUGGCGUUGGGGAUUGGCAUCCAGCCAGCCCCGAAAUCUAGUGGCGGUCCCUCCGCGACCUCCCCUGUGCAGUAGCGAUACCUCGCAGCGGGACAGCGGUCUGACCACGCCGUAAAACCCCCAACUUCUCAAGGUUGACCUCGAAUCAGGUAGGAAUACCCGCUGAACUUAAGC